rnacentral:rRNA from 1 species
UACGUAGGGACCAAGCGUUGUUCGGAUUUACUGGGCGUAAAGGGCGCGUAGGCGGCAAUUCAAGUCAGCUGUGAAAUCUCCAGGCUUAACCCGGAAAGGUCAGCCGAUACUGCGGGGCUAGAGUGCAGAAGGGGCAACUGGAAUUCUCGGUGUAGCGGUGAAAUGCGUAGAUAUCGAGAGGAACACCUGCGGCGAAGGCGGGUUGCUGGGCUGACACUGACGCUGAGGCGCGAAAGCUAGGGGAGCGAACGGG